GCUCUGGCAGAGGAGCCCAGCCCUGGAUUCUCAGGUCCUCCCACUCAGUAAUCAGCAGUGAUCAGAGACCAGUCACCAUGGACUUGGGGCUGAGUUGGCUUUUCCUUGUCCUUAUUUUAAGAGGUGUCCAGUGUGAGGUGCAGCUGGUGGAGUCUGGGGGAGGCUUAGUGCAGCCUGGAAAGUUCCUGAAACUCUCCUGUGCAGCCUCUGGAUUCACCUUCAGUGACUAUGGAAUGAACUGGGUCCGCCAGGCUCCAGGGAAGGGGCUGGAGUGGGUUGCAUACACUAAUAGUGAUAGUAGUUACAUCCAAUAUGCCAAUGCCGUGAAGGGCCGAUUCACCAUCUCCAGGGAGAAUGCCAAGAACACCCUGUACCUGGAAAUGAGCAGUCUGAGGUCUGAGGACACUGCCAUGUAUUACUGUACCAGAGUCACAGUGAUACACUGCUACUGUGAGCUCAGACACAAACCUCCCUGCAGGGAAAUCUGGACCAGCAGGGGGCGCGGAGAGCAAAGAGAGCUCAGGGUCCCAGAAGAGCCCACUCAGAGAGGCAUAGAGAGCUGGACUCCACUGUGUCUGACCUACCACCUCUCCAUAACAUACUCAGAGAUUCUCGCCACAGAUCAUGGGCAACAGACCAGCAUAGACCCAGCUGUGGUGCUGGUAAUGAAAUGUGUGAGAGGCUCCAGCACUGAGAAGUGA